rnacentral:rRNA from 1 species
ACUCCUACGGGAGGCAGCAGUGGGGAAUAUUGCACAAUGGGGGAAACCCUGAUGCAGCAACGCCGCGUGAGUGAAGAAGUAUUUCGGUAUGUAAAGCUCUAUCAGCAGGGAAGAUAAUGACGGUACCUGACUAAGAAGCCCCGGCUAACUACGUGCCAGCAGCCGCGGUAAU